CAAGUCGAACGAGAAAGCAGGAGCAAUCUUGUGAGUAAAGUGGCGGUACGGGUGAGUAACACGUGGAUCAUCUACCCUCUUGUGGGGGAUAACUCUGGGAAACCGGAGCUAAUACCGCAUAAGUCCGAGAGGAGAAAGCAGCAAUGCGCAGGAGGAGGAGUCCGCGGCCGAUUAGCUAGUUGGUAGGGUAAAAGCCUACCAAGGCUACGAUCGGUAGCCGGCCUGAGAGGGCACACGGCCACACUGGCACUGAAACACGGGCCAGACUCCUACGGGAGGCAGCAGUGGGGAAUCUUGCACAAUGGGGGCAACCCUGAUGCAGCGACGCCGCGUGAGCGAUGAAGCCCUUCGGGGUGUAAAGCUCUUUCGGCAGGGAAGAUUAUGACGGUACCUGCAGAAGCAGCUGCGGCUAACUACGUGCCAGCAGCCGCGGUAAUACGUAGGCAGCAAGCGUUGUUCGGAGUUACUGGGCGUAAAGGGUGUGUAGGCGGUCUUCUAAGUUUGGUGUGAAAUCUCCCGGCUCAACUGGGAGGGUGCGCCGAAAACUGGGAGGCUAGAGUGCGGGAUGGGAGAGUGGAAUUCCUGGUGUANCGGUGAAAUGCGUAGAUAUCACGAGGAACACCUGUGGUGUACACGGCUCUCUGGACCGCAACUGACGCUGAGACACCAAAGCGUGGGUAGCAAACAGGAUUAGAUACCCUGGUAGUCCACGCCCUAAACGAUGCAUAUUUGGUGUGGGCCAUUCAUUUGGUCCGUGCCGGAGCUAACGCGUUAA
rnacentral:rRNA from 1 species